GGGCCAGUAGCUUAGUCUGGUUGGAGCACCCGGCUGAUAACCGGGAGGUCGAGGGUUCAAAUCCCUCCUGGCCCA
rnacentral:tRNA from 1 species